CCUACGGGGUGCAGCAGUGAGGAAUAUUGGUCAAUGGACGAUAGUCUGAACCAGCCAAGUAGCGUGAAGGAUGACUGCCCUAUGGGUUGUAAACUUCUUUUAUAUGGGAAUAAAAUGUUCCACGUGUUGUAUUUUGUAUGUACCAUAUGAAUAAGGAUCGGCUAACUCCGUGCCAGCAGCCGCGGUAAUACGGAGGAUCCGAGCGUUAUCCGGAUUUAUUGGGUUUAAAGGGAGCGUAGGUGGAUUGUUAAGUCAGUUGUGAAAGUUUGCGGCUCAACCGUAAAAUUGCAGUUGAAACUGGCAGCCUUGAGUACAGUAGAGGUGGGCGGAAUUCGUGGUGUAGCGGUGAAAUGCUUAGAUAUCACGAAGAACUCCGAUUGCGAAGGCAGCUUACUGGACUGCAACUGACACUGAGGCUCGAAAGUGUGGGUAUCAAACAGGAUUAGAUACCCUAGUAGUC
rnacentral:rRNA from 1 species